AGAUAUUAUCCCCUUGCAGUGUAGUUUAAUAGCUAUCUACAUAUUAACUUAAUAUAAAGUAUAAUAGUUUAUAUUUUAUAAUAUGACGUUAACAAUUUUGUUUAAUAUUUGAAAAUGUUAGUAUUAGUAAUAUUAGUAUAUAUGCUAAAGGAACUCGGCAAAAAACCACUCAACUGUUUAUCAAAAACAUAGCUAUAUGAAUUAAUAUAUAGUUAUUUCUGCUCAAUGAUUUAAAUAGCCGCAGUACUCUGACUGUGCAAAGGUAGCAUAAUCAGUUGGCUUUUAAUUAGAGUCUGGUAUGAACGAAAAUAUGGGUAGUAACUGUCUUAGCACAUUUUUUCGAACUUAUUAAACAAGUGCAAAUGCUUGUAAUUUAACAAUAGACGAGAAGACCCUAGAAACUUGGACAAGUUUUUGUUGGGGCGACAGAAUUACACUUAACUAAUCUUAUAAUACACGACGCGAUGUUGAAAGAAUAAGUUACUCUAGGGAUAACAGCAUAAUUUCAUUAGUUUGUGACCUCGAUGUUGGACUAGGUACUAUACCCUUAAGGCAAGGAUAUAUUAUGCUCUGUUCGAGCAAAAUUACCUACAUGAUCUGAGUUCAGACCGG
rnacentral:rRNA from 1 species